GAUGAAGAACGCAGCGAAAUGCGAUAAGUAAUGUGAAUUGCAGAAUUCAGUGAAUCAUCGAAUCUUUGAACGCACAUUGCGCCCCCUGGUAUUCCGGGGGGCAUGCCUGUCCGAGCGUCAUUACAACCCUCAAGCUCAGCUUGGUAUUGGGCCCCGCCGCUCCGGCGGGCCCUAAAGUCAGUGGCGGUGCCGUCCGGCUCCGAGCGUAGUAAUUCUUCUCGCUCUGGAGGUCCGGUCGUGUGCUCGCCAGCAACCCCAAAUUUUUUUCAGGUUGACCUCGGAUCAGGUAGGGAUACCCGCUGAACUUAAGCAUAUCAAUAAGCGGGGA
rnacentral:misc_RNA from 1 species